rnacentral:rRNA from 1 species
AAGAAUGUCUAGUAUAAGCACUUUAUACUGUGAAACUGCGAAUGGCUCAUUAAAUCAGUUAUCGUUUAUUUGAUAGUACCUUACUACAUGGAUACCUGUGGUAAUUCUAGAGCUAAUACAUGCUAAAAACCCCGACUUCAGGAAGGGGUGUAUUUAUUAGAUAAAAAACCAACGCCCUUCGGGGCUCCUUGGUGAAUCAUAAUAACUUAACGAAUCGCAUGGCCUUGCGCCGGCGAUGGUUCAUUCAAAUUUCUGCCCUAUCAACUUUCGAUGGUAGGAUAGUGGCCUACCAUGGUGGCAACGGGUAACGGGGAAUUAGGGUUCGAUUCCGGAGAGGGAGCCUGAGAAACGGCUACCACAUCCAAGGAAGGCAGCAGGCGCGCAAAUUACCCAAUCCCGAUACGGGGAGGUAGUGACAAUAAAUACUGAUACGGGGCUCUUUUGGGUCUCGUAAUUGGAAUGAGAACAAUUUAAAUCCCUUAACGAGGAACAAUUGGAGGGCAAGUCUGGUGCCAGCAGCCGCGGUAAUUCCAGCUCCAAUAGCGUAUAUUAAAGUUGUUGCAGUUAAAAAGCUCGUAGUUGAACCUUGGGUCUGGCUGG